rnacentral:lncRNA from 1 species
GCACUUUCAACUUAAGGGCUUGCUGAUGAACGACCAGGACUUCGGGGUGAUUAGCCCCAACCCUCCACCAAAUGACUGUGUUUGCUUCCUUUCAUAUUUUGACCCCGUGCUUUUUGGCUAAAGUAUAAAAGAAGAGAAAUCUGAAAUGUGUUCUCAAACGUUCAAAGCUCCAAUUGCUGCAGAAGAGAAUUUAAAACAAACCCCCCUUGGACUCUCGGCAGGAGUGGACAGCAGUAUCUCUGCUUAGAAGUCUGCAGGUGAAGGACAGGCUGAGCCAGAGGAAAUCUGUUUCUCAUUAGAAUUCUUGGCGGAGCAUUUUCAGGCUCAUCUGGAAAAGAGAUGAGGAGAAGGGCUGCCAGUGAGAUGGGGAAAAUCAAUAACAACAGCAAUGAAAAUACAAAACCAAACCAAAGCUGAGGCCCAGAGAGAAGAGGUGAACUUACACAGUUUCACAGCCACUGGGAGUCGGAGCUGAGAUGAGGAAUCUGAUUCCUGUCUCCCACAGUGUGCUGGAAAUCAGAGCACCCCCCAGACCUCACCACGUUCUCUUUCCUGGAUGUGCCAGGUCCUAGGGUAAAUGCUGCUUCCGCCCAGAAACCCUCCCCGACCCAAACCCACCCUCAAGUCAGGCCUCCCUGUUGGCGCUCUAUGCACGUUUUCUUUGUGGCACUUACCUGAUUUUAAUCAAGCUUUGUGUAAUUAUUUGCUUAAAGCUCCCUCUCCAGCAAGACUGUAAGCCCCCUGAGACAGAAACUGUGUCCUGUCUUGUUCAUCAUUGUAUCUACACCACACUGCACAGUGUCUAGUCCAUGAUGGGCCCAAAAAAAAUAUAUUGUGAAAUAAAUGAACAAAUGAAUGAAAAAUUGCCCAAUGCAGUGGUGAAGGCUGAACAUACACCAGCUUCCUUACUUCCUUGGUGAGUUAGCCAGUAAGGGAUUUCCCAAGGAAAUUUCUACAGAUUCUGUUGUUUCUCAUUGACAUUGGUGUUUUUUUUUUUUUUUUUUUUUUUUUUUUUUGAGACAGAGUCUCGUUCUAUCUCCCAGCUCCCAGACUGGAGUGCAGUGGCGCAAUCUCGGCUCACUGCAAGCUCCGCCUCCCGGGUUCAUGCCAUUCUCCUGCCUCAGUCUCCCAAGUAGCUGGGACCACAGGCGCCCACCACCACGCCCAGCUAAUUUUUUGUAUUUUUAGUAGAGAUGGGGUUUCACCAUGUUAGCCAGGAUGGUCUCGAUCUCACGAUCUCAUGAUCCACCCGCCUUGGCCUCCCAAAGUGCUGGGAUUACAGGCGUGAGCCACCACACCCGGCCUCAUUGACGUUGUAUAAAAACCUUUCGCUAAACAUUGAGAAACUUCCUAAGGAGUGAGAGACUGAACGACUGUGAAUUGUGCAGGAUUUCUGCUUUUUGCUGGCCUAAGAACAUAAGGGAUGAAUAGACCAGGAGUGCCAGCAGAAGUUAGUCUAUGUCCUGUGGGUGAUGUCCUGCUCCCUGUUCCAGCUAUGUGUUCUAGGGUAUCAUCACUGCUUCCUGGGUGAGUGCAUGAGGGCAUGAUUCAGUCUGAGUAAUGGGCUAGUUCUUCCUGGCCUUGCCACCAGCCCUGUAGCCUGGGAGAGCACCAAUCAAAAGAUGGUUGUGGCACAUAUCAUCCAGUUCAUAUGGGGAAACUGAGGCAAGUGGAGAGGACUGUUCUGGUAGUGGCAGAGCUGGAACGAGAAUCCAGGGCUCCUGCCUCUUUGUCUGCUCUUCUCCCCAGCACUGUUCAAUCAAUCAGCCCUUGGCAUGUGCUCAGUGCUGUCUAUUCUAUUAGGUUGGUGCAAACACAAUUACAGUUUUCACUGUUAUUUUAAAUGGCAAAAACCGCAAUUACCCACCUAAUAGGUUCUGAAAUGGAUGUAAAAAGUCUUGAAAAUUAAGCAC